rnacentral:rRNA from 1 species
GGCGGACGGGUGAGUAAUGUCUGGGAAACUGCCUGAUGGAGGGGGAUAACUACUGGAAACGGUGGCUAAUACCGCAUAACGUCUCAAGACCAAAGAGGGGGACCUUCGGGCCUCUUGCCAUCAGAUGUGCCCAGAUGGGAUUAGCUUGUUGGUGAGGUAACGGCUCACCAAGGCGACGAUCCCUAGCUGGUCUGAGAGGAUGACCAGCCACACUGGAACUGAGACACGGCCCAGACUCCUACGGGAGGCAGCAGUGGGGAAUAUUGCACAAUGGGCGCAAGCCUGAUGCAGCCAUGCCGCGUGUAUGAAGAAGGCCUUCGGGUUGUAAAGUACUUUCAGCGGGGAGGAAGGUGUUGUGGUUAAUAACCACCUGUCUUGACGUUACCCGCAGAAGAAGCACCGGCUAACUCCGUGCCAGCAGCCGCGGAAUACGGAGGGUGCAAGCGUUAAUCGGAAUUACUGGGCGUAAAGCGCACGCUUGCGGUCUGUCAAGUCGGAUGU